rnacentral:rRNA from 1 species
UACGUAGGGACCGAGCGUUGUCCGGAAUCAUUGGGCGUAAAGAGCGUGUAGGCGGCUAUUUAAGUCCUGCGUGAAGUCCUGCGGCUCAACCGCAGACGGUCGUGGGAAACUGGAUGGCUAGAGUGCGGGAGAGGAGAGUGGAAUUCCCGGUGUAGCGGUGAAAUGCGCAGAUAUCAGGAAGAACACCCGUGGCUAAGGCGGCUCUCUAGUACGGUACUGACGCUGAGACGCGAAAGCGUGGGGAGCGAACAGG